rnacentral:rRNA from 1 species
AGUGAACGCUGGCGGUAGGCCUAACACAUGCAAGUCGAACGGCAGCACAGUAAGAGCUUGCUCUUACGGGUGGCGAGUGGCGGACGGGUGAGGAAUACAUCGGAAUCUACUUUUUCGUGGGGGAUAACGUAGGGAAACUUACGCUAAUACCGCAUACGACCUACGGGUGAAAGCAGGGGAUCUUCGGCACUUGCGCGAUUGAAUGAGCCGAUGUCGGAUUAGCUAGUUGGCGGGGUAAAGGCCCACCAAGGCGACGAUCCGUAGCUGGUCUGAGAGGAUGUGCAGCCACACUGGAACUGAGACACGGUCCAGACUCCUACGGGAGGCAGCAGUGGGGAAUAUUGGACAAUGGGCGCAAGCCUGAUCCAGCCAUACCGCGUGGGUGAAGAAGGCCUUCGGGUUGUAAAGCCCUUUUGUUGGGAAAGAAAAGCAGCAGGUUAAUACCCCGCUGUUCUGACGGUACCCAAAGAAUAAGCACCGGCUAACUUCGUG